AGAGUUUGAUCCUGGCUCAGAACGAACGCUGGCGGCAUGCCUAACACAUGCAAGUCGAACGAAGCCUUCGGGCUUAGUGGCGCACGGGUGCGUAACGCGUGGGAAUCUGCCCUUGGGUACGGAAUAACAGUGAGAAAUUACUGCUAAUACCGUAUGAUGUCUUCGGACCAAAGAUUUAUCGCCCAGGGAUGAGCCCGCGUAGGAUUAGCUAGUUGGUGAGGUAAAGGCUCACCAAGGCUACGAUCCUUAGCUGGUCUGAGAGGAUGAUCAGCCACACUGGGACUGAGACACGGCCCAGACUCCUACGGGAGGCAGCAGUGGGGAAUAUUGGACAAUGGGCGAAAGCCUGAUCCAGCAAUGCCGCGUGAGUGAAGAAGGCCUUCGGGUUGUAAAGCUCUUUUACCCGGGAUGAUAAUGACCGUACCGGGAGAAUAAGCCCCGGCUAACUCCGUGCCAGCAGCCGCGGUAAUACGGAGGGGGCUAGCGUUGUUCGGAAUCACUGGGCGUAAAGCGUACGUAGGCGGCUAUUCAAGUCAGAGGUGAAAGCCUGGAG
rnacentral:rRNA from 1 species